CCUACGGGUGGCAGCAGUGAGGAAUAUUUGUCAAUGGGCGAGAGCCUGAACCCGCCAAGUCGCGUGAAGGAUGAAGGAUCUAUGGUUUGUAAACUUCUUUUAUAUGGGAAUACAGUGAGGAACGUGUUCCUUUUUAUAUGUACCAUAUCAAUUAGCAUCGGCUAAAUCCGUGCCAGCAGCCGCGGUAAUACGGAGGGUGCGUGCGUUAUCCGGAUUUAUUGUGUUUAAAGUGUGCGUAGGUGGUUAAGUAAGUCAGCGCUGAAAUUCUGUGGCUCAACACUAAGAUUGCCGUUGAUACUUGUUAACUAGAGUAUGUUUGAGGUAAGCGGAAUGCGUGGUGUAGCGGUGAAAUGCAUAGAUAUAACGCAGAACUCCGAUUGCGAAGGCAGCUUACUAAACUAUAACUGACACUGAAGCACGAAAGCGUGGGGAGCAAACAGGAUUAGAUACCCUAGUAGUC
rnacentral:rRNA from 1 species